CUCGCGUGAGCGCGGGCUAACGGGGGCGGGCGGCGCGCCGGGGACGACCCUGUGUGGCAGCUGCAGUCCGCUCCCCUCACCAGCACCGAGCCGCCAGUUCCCUGGGCGGUGUCGCUGGGAGGUCUCCGGCGGGCACCGUCGCUCCGCCCAAGGGGAUUCUUUACCAGCUGAGCCACCAGAGACGCCCAGUAUCUAUUGGAAUGCUUUGACAAACAUAGACGCUUUGCAGGUGUUUAUUAGCCGGUAGGCUGGCUACCCUGAGAAACUUCAGGAAGUCUUCAGAUCUACCGACGCAGAGAACUGUGUGGUCGUUGCCAGUGUGUUCGCCGUGAUGACUUGCGUGCCCACAGCACUCACAGUGGAGAGAUAAACAAGCAAAAAUCUACUAGCAAGCCAGCUGUCUAUCCCCAGUGAAAAACACAACAAACUGUGAUAUGUUCACGAAACAGAAUUUUACCCUAGCAUGAAAAAUCCUCAAACCACAGCUGCAAGCAACAGUACGGAACAUGCUUCCCAUGGAUCACUGCUGUGCCCUCGUCACUUACCAUCGCAGGGAGGAUGUUGUCAACACAAGCCAACCCAGAGGCUUGCUCGCUUCGCCUUGCUCUCUUUCCCUCUGAACAGGACUGUUGUUUACGUAUGGCCUCAUUUUCUGUCCAGCCUAAUUUGUCUGGUUCGCUAUUUUCCAACACCAAGCACAGUUCCUGGCAAAUACCAGGAGCUCAGUAAACCUUUCUUAGAUCAAGA
ensembl:lncRNA